UACGUAGGUGGCAAGCGUUGUCCGGAUUUACUGGGCGUAAAGAGCGCGCAGGCGGUCGUUCAAGUCGAGUGUGAAAGCCCCCGGCUCAACUGGGGAGGGUCAUUCGAUACUGAUCGACUCGAAGGCAGGAGAGGGAAGUGGAAUUCCCGGUGUAGUGGUGAAAUGCGUAGAUAUCGGGAGGAACACCAGUGGCGAAGGCGACUUCCUGGCCUGUUCUUGACGCUGAGGCGCGAAAGCUAGGGGAGCAAACGGGG
rnacentral:rRNA from 1 species